UACGUAGGGUGCAAGCGUUAUCCGGGAAUUAUUGGGCGUAAAGAGCUCGUAGGCGGUUUGUCACGUCUGCUGUGAAAACUGGAGGCUCAACCUCCAGCCUGCAGUGGGUACGGGCAGACUAGAGUGCGGUAGGGGAGAUUGGAAUUCCUGGUGUAGCGGUGGAAUGCGCAGAUAUCAGGAGGAACACCGAUGGCGAAGGCAGACUCUGGGCCGUCAACUGACGCUGAGGAGCGAAAGCAUGGGGAGCGAACAGGAUUAGAACUACCGUAG
rnacentral:rRNA from 1 species